rnacentral:rRNA from 1 species
GACAGAGGGUGCAAACGUUGUUCGGAAUUACUGGGCGUAAAGCGCACGUAGGCGGCUUUGUAAGUUAGAGGUGAAAGCCCGGAGCUCAACUCCGGAAUUGCCUUUAAGACUGCAUCGCUAGAAUUGUGGAGAGGUAAGUGGAAUUCCGAGUGUAGAGGUGAAAUUCGUAGAUAUUCGGAAGAACACCAGUGGCGAAGGCGACUUACUGGACACAUAUUGACGCUGAGGUGCGAAAGCGUGGGGAGCAAACAGG